rnacentral:rRNA from 1 species
UGGGGAAUCUUAGACAAUGGGCGCAAGCCUGAUCUAGCGAUGCCGCGUGAGUGACGAAGGUCUUAGGAUCGUAAAGCUCUUUCGCCAGGGAUGAUAAUGACAGUACCUGGUAAAGAAACCCCGGCUAACUCCGUGCCAGCAGCCGCGGUAAUACGGAGGGGGUUAGCGUUGUUCGGAAUUACUGGGCGUAAAGCGCACGUAGGCGGAUCAAUAAGUUAGAGGUGAAAUCCCAGGGCUCAACCCUGGAACUGCCUUUAAUACUGUUGGUCUAGAGUUCGAGAGAGGUAAGUGGAAUUCCGAGUGUAGAGGUGAAAUUCGUAGAUAUUCGGAGGAACACCAGUGGCGAAGGCGGCUUACUGGCUCGAUACUGACGCUGAGGUGCGAAAGUGUGGGGAGCAAACAGGAUUAGAUACCCUGGUAGUCCACACCGUAAACGAUGAAUGCCAGACGUCGGGGGCUUGCCCUUCGGUGUCACACCUAACGGAUUAAGCAUUCCGCCUGGGGAGUACGGUCGCAAGAUUAAAACGUCAAAUGAAUUGACGGCUGAGA